CCUUUGCCGGCGACCGGCGCACGGGUGGAGUAACACGUAUGCAACCUGCCCUCUUCAGGGGGACAACCUUCCGAAAGGGAGGCUAAUCCCGCGUAUAUCGGUUUCGGGCAUCCGAGAUCGAGGAAAGAUUCAUCGGAAGAGGAUGGGCAUGCGGCGCAUUAGCUAGACGGCGGGGUAACGGCCCACCGUGGCGACGAUGCGUAGGGGUUCUGAGAGGAAGGUCCCCCACACUGGUACUGAGACACGGACCAGACUCCUACGGAAGGCAGCAG
rnacentral:rRNA from 1 species